rnacentral:rRNA from 1 species
AUUGAACGCUGGCGGCAGGCUUAACCCAUGCAAGUCGAGCGAGCGGCGGACGGGUGAGUAAUGUCUGGGAAACUGCCUGAUGGAGGGGGAUAACUACUGGAAACGGUAGCUAAUACCGCAUACCAUCAGAUGUGCCCAGAUGGGAUUAGCUAGUAGGUGGGGUAAUUGCUCACUUAGGCGACGAUCCCUAGCUGGUCUGAGAUGCUGACCAGCCACACUUGAACGUUGACCCUGUCCAGACUCCUACGUGAGGCAGCAGUGGGGAAUAUUGCACAAGGGGCGCAAGCCUGAUGCAGCCAUGCCGCGUGUGUGAAGAAGGCCUUCGGGUUGUAAAGCACUUUCAGCGAGGAGGCGUUACUCGCAGAAGAAGCACCGGCUAACUCCGUGCCAGCAGCCGCGGUAAUUC